GACGAACGCUGGCGGCGCGCUUAACACAUGCAAGUCGAACGGAAAGGCCCUGCUUUUGCGGGGCGCUCGUUUGGCGCACGGGUGAGUAACACGUGUGUAACCCGUCCCUGACUUUGGGAUAACUUCAGGAAACUCGGGCGCAAACCGCAUAUGAUCUCCUGCUCCGUGGGGUGGGUUGGAAAGUUUCGGCGGUUCGGUCAGGACUCGCGGGUUAUCCGCUUGUUGGUGUGGUAGUGGCUUACCAAGGCUUUGACGGGUAGCCGGCCUGAGAGGGUGACCGGCCACAUUGGGACUGAGAUACGGCCCAGACUCCUACGGGAGGCAGCAGUGGGGAAUAUUGCACAAUGGGCGGAAGCCUGAUGCAGCAACGCCGCGUGCGGGAUGACGGCCUUCGGGUUGUAAACCGCUUUCGCCUGUGACGAAGCGUGAGUGACGGUAAUGGGUAAAGAAGCACCGGCUAACUACGUG
rnacentral:rRNA from 1 species